GACGAACGCUGGCGGCGUGCUUAACACAUGCAAGUCGAACGAUGAAGCCCUUCGGGGUGGAUUAGUGGCGAACGGGUGAGUAACACGUGGGCAAUCUGCCCUGCACUCUGGGACAAGCCCUGGAAACGGGGUCUAAUACCGGAUGACACCUGCCGAUGCAUAUCGGCGGGUUGAAAGCCCCGGCGGUGCAGGAUGAGCCCGCGGCCUAUCAGCUGGUUGGUGAGGUAACGGCUCACCAAGGCGACGACGGGUAGCCGGCCUGAGAGGGCGACCGGCCACACUGGGACUGAGACACGGCCCAGACUCCUACGGGAGGCAGCAGUGGGGAAUAUUGCACAAUGGGCGAAAGCCUGAUGCAGCGACGCCGCGUGAGGGAUGACGGCCUUCGGGUUGUAAACCUCUUUCAGCAGGGAAGAAGCGCAAGUGACGGUACCUGCAGAAGAAGCGCCGGCUAACUACGUGCCAGCAGCCGCAGUAAUAC
rnacentral:rRNA from 1 species